rnacentral:rRNA from 1 species
UCGGGAAUUUUGGGCAAUGGGCGAAAGCCUGACCCAGCAACGCCGCGUGCAGGAUGGCGGUCCUAUGGAUUGUAAACUGCUUUUGUACAGGAAGAAACAGUUCUACGUGUAGAACCUUGACGGUACUGUAAGAAUAAGGAUCGGCUAACUCCGUGCCAGCAGCCGCGGUAAUACGGAGGAUCCAAGCGUUAUCCGGAAUCAUUGGGUUUAAAGGGUCCGUAGGCGGUUAGAUAAGUCAGUGGUGAAAGCCCAUCGCUCAACGGUGGAACGGCCAUUGAUACUGUCUGACUUGAAUUAUUAGGAAGUAACUAGAAUAUGUAGUGUAGCGGUGAAAUGCUUAGAGAUUACAUGGAAUACCAAUUGCGAAGGCAGGUUACUACUAAUGGAUUGACGCUGAUGGACGAAAGCGUGGGUAGCGAACAGGAUUAGAUACCCUCGUAGUCCCUG